rnacentral:rRNA from 1 species
CUGAUCUCAAAUCAGGUAGGACUACCC